ensembl:lncRNA
CACACUGGCCUGGUUCCUCUUUUUCACUACAAAUUACAUUUUAAUUAUUUAGCAGACAUUGUUAUCCAAAGCAACUUAUGCAUUCUAAGAAAGCUAGGUGGAACCACCACACAACUCAGUCGUACAGUUGCCAUGGCACCGGUGGGAGAAGCCGCGGGGUCGUGGGCAACAGCCAUGCCCGGGUUCUUCCCUCCGGAAUUUGCUGUGUUCUCUCUGUUCUUCCUCCUGACCAUCAUCCUUCUUGCCCUCUGCACCGACUGUGGAAGGCAUUCCUUUGAGCUCCGGGACAGCGGUGAGGAGACCGGUAUAACCCAGUCAAACCUGAUCAGAGUGGUAAAGCUGGAGGAUGCCCUGGCUGCAAGAGAGAACCCAAUGAUCAAUGACAUCAGAAAAGACGAGAGAGGUGCCUCGCAGAUCGUCAAUGGAACCCCUGUGAUGACAGUUGGAUCUCCUUCUCCUACCACCACUGUCAACAACGCUGACCAAAGGGAAGUCCAGAACUCCAUCCCCGAGAUCCAUUCUCUCCCAGACCCCGUAUCUGUGGUGGAGGCUCACAAACCCCUAAAGUCUGUACCUCUUCCUGUCUAUUCAGGGGAUGCCCUGGAAGCCCCCAUUGUAAAAAGCCUUGAAUCUGCUGAGGUCCCCAUCCUUGGACCUGUGGAAGCCUCCACCUUGGAUUUCUCUAAUAUGAGUAGCCUUAAACCUGUGGAACCAACGGAUGUUUCCAUCGUGAGCCGUGUCCCAGAUGCUCCAGAUGGCUUUGGCAACCGGAAGCUCCCCGUCAUAAACAGUCUGGAGGCUGUGGACGGGCCCAACGUUGCACCUGCAUGUAUUCCUCACUGUAAUGACCUUGACACCCAAGGUGCCGCCAUCAUGAAUAUUCCUGGUAGCCUUGCACCAGUGGAUGAACUUAUAGGGGACUCAACCAUUGUAACGUACCCUGAACCUGUGGAUUUCUCCAUUGUAAACCAACUUCCACCAGUGGACACCCCUGUUGUGGACAGCUUGGCACCAGUGGAUGCUCCCAUCAUGAACCGACUUAAAAAAGACAAUGCCACUAUCAGUGACCAACUCAAUGUCCCCACUGUGAAUGAUAUUGACCAACUCAAUGUCCCCAUUUUGAAUGAUAUCGACCUGCUCAAUGUCCCCACCAUGAAUGAGACAGACCUGUUCAAUGUCCCCAUCCUGUAUGACAGUGAUCCCCUUGGCUUUGCCAUCAUGAAGGACCUGGACCUCUUGGACGCCCCUGUGGAGUUCAGCUCCAACUUCGUAGCUCAGCUUGCGGAGAAUGGUUGUGUGGCGGGCGAAGACCAGGGGCCAUCCUUGAGGCUCCAUCCCCAGCACACCUAUGAGCUCAUAGGGGAGCUCAUUCCAGAUGUAGCCUCUGUGGAAGUGGACCCGACGACCCCAAGCGAUCAAACAAAACCUGAAGUCAUCGAUGAAUCCACCACACAGCCUGAUGUUGACGCAUCCACGGUCACAGAGCCAGUGGACCUGGCCCUCCGCUACUACGAAAACACAGCUGAACUGGUCCAACAAUCGGUGGCAACCAAUAAUGAGCCAAUGACAACCGGGCCAGGGGACGGGACUGACCUUACAAGGAAGGAGGAAGUUAAGAAGAGUUUGAGUGACAUGGGGUGGAAUCCGAUGUAUGCUAAGGUGAGCAGGAACUGUCCCACUCCACCCCCGGUCCCUCCUCCGGAGGAUGAGGAAUAGAUGCACCUCUACCUCGCUUAUAAGAGAGAAAUGGAAAGAUGGAGGGAGGAUAACUAGCAUAUCUCAUAAGACUUUUAAAAAGCCCUGUAUUUUAGCAUGUCCUCAAUACUAUUUACAUAUGUAAGCAACUGUGCUUUCUUGCUUUCUUUCAUUAUUAAAUAAAAUUGCAUGUUAUAAUGGCAAUAUUAAUUGACCUGUCCACGUCUAAUAGUCUUGUGAGAGGGUCUUGACGUUUGUAUGUACUAACUCAUUAGGUGAACCAGUUAUUACACAGUAAAACACCUAACUUGUUUUGUUUCUUUGAGAUGAAUUCAAUGUCAAGAAUCUCUAGAAUUACAGUUUAAACAUUUCAAUACUAUAAUGACAAC